AUUGAACGCUGGCGGCAUGCCUUACACAUGCAAGUCGAACGGUAACAGGUCUUCGGACGCUGACGAGUGGCGAACGGGUGAGUAAUACAUCGGAACGUGCCCAGUCGUGGGGGAUAACUACUCGAAAGAGUAGCUAAUACCGCAUACGAUCUGAGGAUGAAAGCGGGGGACCUUCGGGCCUCGCGCGAUUGGAGCGGCCGAUGGCAGAUUAGGUAGUUGGUGGGAUAAAAGCUUACCAAGCCGACGAUCUGUAGCUGGUCUGAGAGGACGACCAGCCACACCGGGACUGAGACACGGCCCAGACUCCUACGGGAGGCAGCAGUGGGGAAUUUUGGACAAUGGGCGAAAGCCUGAUCCAGCAAUGCCGCGUGCAGGAUGAAGGCCUUCGGGUUGUAAACUGCUUUUGUACGGAACGAAAAAGCUUCUCCUAAUACGAGAGGCCCAUGACGGUACCGUAAGAAUAAGCACCGGCUAACUACGUGC
rnacentral:rRNA from 1 species